rnacentral:misc_RNA from 1 species
ACACCUCAACUCUCAUGGUUCGCCGUGAUGAGCUUGGACUCUGGGGGUUUUGCUGGCCUGUGGUCGGCUCCUCUCAAAUGAAUCAGCCUCCCAGUGUUUGGCGGCAUCACGGGUGUGAUAAAUAUCUACGCUCGCUGUUGUCUGCCAGGUAACCUUUGGUCACAAAGGUUUGCUGGAGCUCACAGAUGUCUCUCCUCAGCGAGGACAGCUUUUGAAC